rnacentral:rRNA from 1 species
CUAUCCCUACGGGGGGCAGCAGUCGAGAAUCAUUCACAAUGGGGGAAACCCUGAUGUUGCGACGCCGCGUGGGGGAAUGAAGGUCUUCGGAUUGUAAAUCCCUGUCAUGUGGGAGCAAAUUAAAAAGAUAGUACCACAAGAGGAAGAGACGGCUAACUCUGUGCCAGCAGCCGCGGUAAUACAGAGGUCUCAAGCGUUGUUCGGGAUCACUGGGCGUAAAGCGUGCGUAGGCUGUUUCGUAAGUCGUGUGUGAAAGGCGCGGGCUCAACCCGCGGACGGCACCUGAUACU